UACGUAGGCAGCGAGCGUCGUUCGGAGUUACUGGGCGUAAAGCGUGCGCAGGCGGUUUGUUAAGUCCGUUGUGAAAGCCCCGAGCUCAACUUGGGAAUUGCAGUGGAUACUGGCAGGCUGGAGUACGGUAGAGGAAGGUGGAAUUCCCGGUGUAGCAGUGAAAUGCGUAGAUAUCGGGAGGAACACCAGUGGCGAAGGCGGCCUUCUGGACCAGUACUGACGCUCAUGCACGAAAGCGUGGGGAGCAAACAGG
rnacentral:rRNA from 1 species